rnacentral:rRNA from 1 species
CACGUAGGGCGCAAGCGUUGUCCGGAUUUAUUGGGCGUAAAGAGCGUGUAGGCGGUCAGGUAGGUCCGUUGUGAAAACUCGAGGCUCAACCUCGAGACGCCGAUGGAAACCAUCUGACUAGAGUCCGGAAGAGGAGAGUGGAAUUCCUGGUGUAGCGGUGAAAUGCGCAGAUAUCAGGAAGAACACCCGUGGCUAAGGCGGCUCUCUAGUACGUGACUGACGCUGAGACGCGAAAGCGUGGGGAGCGAACAGG